rnacentral:rRNA from 1 species
UAACACGUGGGCAAUCUGCCCUGCACUCUGGGACAAGCCCUGGAAACGGGGUCUAAUACCGGAUAACACCUUCUCUCGCAUGGGAGAGGGUUAAAAGCUCCGGCGGUGCAGGAUGAGCCCGCGGCCUAUCAGCUAGUUGGUGAGGUAGAAGCUCACCAAGGCGACGACGGGUAGCCGGCCUGAGAGGGCGACCGGCCACACUGGGACUGAGACACGGCCCAGACUCCUACGGGAGGCAGCAGUGGGGAAUAUUGCACAAUGGGCGAAAGCCUGAUGCAGCGACGCCGCGUGAGGGAUGACGGCCUUCGGGUUGUAAACCUCUUUCAGCAGGGAAGAAGCGAAAGUGACGGUACCUGCAGAAGAAGCGCCGGCUAACUACGUGCCAGCAGCCGCGGUAAUACGUAGGGCGCAAGCGUUGUCCGGAAUUAUUGGGCGUAAAGAGCUCGUAGGCGGCUUGUCACGUCGGUUGNGAAAGCCCGGGGCUUAACCCCGGGUCUGCAGU